GGUAGUAUAGCUCAGUGGUAGAGCGUUCGACUGGAGAUCGAGAGGUCCCCGGUUCGAAUCCGUGUGCUUUCU
rnacentral:tRNA from 1 species